GAUGAACGCUAGCUACAUGCUUAACACAUGCAAGUCGAGGGACCGGCGCACGGGUGAGUAACAGUUAUCCAACCUUCCCCUUACUCUGAGAUAGCCUUUCCAAUUAAAGAUUAAUACCCGAUCUUAAGGAUGGGGAUGCGUUCCAUUAGGUUGUUGGUGAUGUAACGUCUCACCAAGCCUUCGAUGGAUAGGGGUUCUGAGAGGAAGGUCCCCCACAUUGGAACUGCGACACGGUCCAAACUCCGACGGGAGGCAGCAGUGAGGAAUAUUGGUCAAUGGGCGUUAGCCGGAACCAGCCAAGUAGCGGAAAGGAUGAAGGGUUAUGGGUCGUAAACUUCUUGUAUAUAAGAAUCGGUAUUAUACGAAUAAGGAUCGGCUAACUACGUGCCAGCAGCCGCGGUAAUUC
rnacentral:rRNA from 1 species